CAGAGGGUGCGAGCGUUAAUCGGAAUUACUGGGCGUAAAGCGCGCGUAGGCGGCUUUUCAAGUCGAUUGUGAAAUCCCCGGGCUUAACCUGGGAACUGCAGUCGAGACUGUCUAGCUAGAGUAUGGGAGAGGGAAGUGGAAUUUCAGGUGUAGCGGUGAAAUGCGUAGAUAUCUGAAGGAACAUCAGUGGCGAAAGCGACUUCCUGGACCAAUACUGACGCUCAUGUGCGAAAGCGUGGGGAGCAAACAGGAUUAGAUACCCUGGUAGUCCACGCCAUAAACGAUGAGAACUGGAUGUCGGAGGGGGUCUGCCCUUCGGUGUCGUAGCUAACGCGUUAAGUUCUCCGCCUGGGGAGUACGGCCGCAAGGUUG
rnacentral:rRNA from 1 species